rfam:Medicago truncatula strain A17 chromosome 7, whole genome shotgun sequence.
AGCCUUGUAAUGAUGACAGUGAAUUAUUCUUUUGCCUUUUAUUAAAGAAUACCGUGUCAGUCUUACAAUUAGUGGAAUGGUUUUCGUUAUUGAGGACAUUACAAUAGUUUUUC